rnacentral:rRNA from 1 species
AUACGGAGGGUGCAAGCGUUAUCCGGAUUUAUUGGGUUUAAAGGGUCCGUAGGCGGACUUGUAAGUCAGUGGUGAAAUCCCAUAGCUUAACUAUGAAACUGCCAUUGAUACUGCAGGUCUUGAGUAAAUUUGAAGUGGCUGGAAUAAGUAGUGUAGCGGUGAAAUGCAUAGAUAUUACUUAGAACACCAAUUGCGAAGGCAGGUCACUAAGAUUUAACUGACGCUGAUGGACGAAAGCGUGGGUAGCGAACAGGAUUAGAAACCCUAGUAGUCC